UACGUAGGGUGCGAGCGUUGUCCGGAUUUAUUGGGCGUAAAGAGCUCGUAGGCGGUUUGUCGCGUCGGCCGUGAAAUCUCCACGCUUAACGUGGAGCGUGCAGUCGAUACGGGCAGGCUAGAAUUCGGUAGGGGAGACUGGAAUUCCUGGUGUAGCGGUGAAAUGCGUAGAUAUCGGAAGGAACAUCAGUGGCGAAAGCGACUUCCUGGACCAGUACCGACGUUCAGGCACGAAAGCGUGGGGAGCAAACAGG
rnacentral:rRNA from 1 species